UUCGAAGCAACGCGAAGAACCUUACCUGGCUUGACAUACACCGGAUCGGGCUAGAGAUAGUCUUUCCCUUGUGGCUGGUGUACAGGUGGUGCAUGGUUGUCGUCAGCUCGUGUCGUGAGAUGUUGGGUUAAGUCCCGCAACGAGCGCAACCCUUGUCUUAUGUUGCCAGCACGUGAUGGUGGGGACUCAUGAGAGACUGCCGGGGUUAACUCGGAGGAAGGUGGGGAUGACGUCAAAUCAUCAUGCCCCUUAUGUCCAGGGCUUCACACAUGCUACAAUGGUCGGUACAACGCGUGUGCGACACUGUGAGGUGAAGCUAAUCGCUCUAAAGCCGGUCGCAGUUCGGAUUGGGGUCUGCAACUCGACCCCAUGAAGUCGGAGUCGCUAGUAAUCGCAGAUCAGCAACGCUGCGGUGAAUACGUUCCCGGGCCUU
rnacentral:rRNA from 1 species